GGAGAAAUACUCAAGAGGCCGAAGAGGCGCCCCUGCUAAGGGUGUAGGUCGCUAACGCGGCGCGAGGGUUCAAAUCCCUCUUUCUCCG
rnacentral:tRNA from 1 species